UAAUUUUAUCUUUAAGUAUUUUAUGUUUUCAAUGAUAUUAUAAUAAAAGGCUUUCAAUAUCUCUUAAAAUCUUAAAUCCUGGCCGUCCGCAGUGGCUCGCACCUGUAAUCCCAACACUUUGAGAGGCCAGUGCUGGUAUCCACUCCCGCCUCAGCCUCCCAGAGCAAUCCUUACUCUCAGUUAUGGGUCGUGGAACUGUAAAUUGGUACAGCUUCAGAGGAGAGUAAUGUGAAUGCUUUUGUCUAAAUUACAAAAGAACAUACUCUUGGAUUCAGUUAACUCCACUUCUAGUAAUGUCUCCUACAAUGUACAUGACAGUGUGCAAAAUCAUCUAGAUUCAUCAAAGAACUGUUUAUGUAAUGAAAAACGGGAAACCAAAAUGUGCACCAAGAUAUUGGUUAAACAAAUUAUGAUGCAUUCAUUUGAUAGACUUGGCCCAUCAGAACCCAGCAGAAAAAUAUGAGCGCUUAAUUGAGGGACUCUUUUUUUUUUUU
rnacentral:lncRNA from 1 species